GUCUGUAUAACUUGUUUGUGUGUAAUGAUGUUUAAAUAAUAAAGGAAAAAUAAUUUAGUUAUUUUAAAAAUUAGUAUAGAUUAUAAAAAUUAGGAAAAGAAGGCAAUAGUGGAAAAGUAUUGUAAAAGAAAGAUUAAAAAUAUAAGUAGAAAAGAUAGAAAUUAUAAAAAUUUGUACCUCGGGUAUCAGGGAAAACUAAAAUAUAUUAAUUAAUUUAAUAUUCUCGAAAUAAAAACAGUUAAUUUAAUAAAAAGUUUUUGUUUUAAAAAAAUUUUAAAUAUUAUAUUAAAGAUGAAAUAUCAGUCGAGUUUUAAUAUCUAGUUCUUUGGAAAUGAAUAUAAUUCUAUUUUUACUUAAUCUAAAGUAAAAAUUAAGAGCAGAAGGGUAGAGCUUUUUGUUCAAAAAAUAAUAAGUUAUGGGUGAAUAGAUUUAUUAAAUUUUUACUAAGCUUAAAAGUAGCUAUGUUUAUAAAGUGUUCUACCUCAUAUUAUUGAAAAUAAUAUUUCUUUAAUUCUAAUUAAUUACUAGAGUAUUAUAUGAAAUAAAAAUAUAUAAGAGAUAAUAGUUUUAUUAGUAUAAUUUAUUAUAAAUAUUCAAAUUAAAAUCAUCAUUAAUACAUAAAAGAUAAGUGGUAUUACCCGGAAUUCGGGAAAUAUAUUUCUCCCCGUUUAUCAAAAACAUGUCUGUUUGCAGAUAUAAAGAGUCUAACCUGCCCGCUGAUUGAAUAUUGAAGGGCCGCGGUAUUCUGACCGUGCAAAGGUAGCAUAAUCAUUAGUCUUUUAAUUGGAGGCUUGUAUGAAUGGUUGGACAAGGGAAUUUCUGUCUCUAUAAUAAUUUUAAAAUUUGACUUUUAAGUGAAAAGGCUUAAAUGAUUUAGGGGGACGAUAAGACCCUAUAAAGCUUUACAUUUAAUUAAUUUAAAUUGAAUUAUAAGUAAAAUGAUAUAAAUUAAUAUUAUGUUGUGUUGGGGCGACAAGAGUAUAAAUAAAUUUAACUGCUUUUUGGUAAUACAUUUAUAUAUGUUUAUGGUGGGUUAAUGAUCCUCUUUAGGGAUUUAAAGAUUAAGUUACUUUAGGGAUAACAGCGUUAUUUUCUUUGAGAGUUCUUAUCGAAAAGAGAGUUUGCGACCUCGAUGUUGAAUUAAAAUUUCUAUAUAGUGCAGCAGCUGUAAUAGAAGGUCUGUUCGACCUUUAAAUUUUUACAUGAUUUGAGUUCAGACCGGUGUGAACCAGGUUGGUUUCUAUCUCCUAAAAAUUAUAAAGUUAGUUUAGUACGAAAGGAUUAAUUAACUGAAAAAGUUUCGAUAAAAGAAUAACUAAUAAAUUU
rnacentral:rRNA from 1 species